GAGUAUAAAAGUGAAGGAAAAAUUAAAAUAAACGAGAAAUAGUGAGAUAGGAUUCUUAAAUGGCCUGUUCUCACCUGAGAUGCCAUUUUGCAAGACUAGCACUUGUAUACAAGUCUUGACUAUUCCGCCAAGGCGAUUCUCAACUACCAGCCCCGGAUUUUCAAAUCAAAUCGCCGGCAAUGGGCCAUCGGAAAAUCCUUUUCCCAGCGAGCCGCUUGGGUUUGUUCUUUAUACUUUACCUGCUUUCAUCCACUUGCGUUUCCUUUUCCUUUCCGUUUGUGAAGCCCAAGCAACACAAAUUCAACGGACCCAUCAAAACUCUUGUCAUUUUGGUGAUGGAAAACCGGUCUUUUGAUCAUAUUCUGGGUUGGCUCCAUAAGAGCCGACCCGAUAUUGAUGGGCUUAAGGGGUCGGAGUUUAACAGGGUUAAUGCUUCAGACCCUUAUUCUUCCAAAAUCUUUGUCUCGUAUGAUGCUGUAUUCGUUGAUUCUGAUCCAGGUCACUCUAUUCAAGCUAUUGGGGAGCAGAUAUUCGGGUCGAAUGAUUCUUCAGCAAACCCAGCUCCGAUGAACGGGUUCGUGCAACAGGCUGUUAGUAUGGGGGUACCUGGUAUGGAGCAGACCGUGAUGAGCGGGUUUAAACCGGAGUUAUUACCGGUUUACACUGAUUUAGCGAAUGAGUUUGGGGUUUUUGACCGGUGGUUCGCGUCGGUUCCAGCUUCAACUCAGCCGAAUCGGUUUUACGUUCACUCGGCAACUUCUCACGGAGCUUCCAGCAAUGUCCGUAAAGACUUGAUCCAUGGGUUCCCUCAAAAGACUAUAUUUGAUUCUUUGGACGAAAAUGGCCUUUCAUUUGGAAUUUAUUACCAAAACAUUCCAGCUACCUUAUUUUUCAAGUCACUCAGAAAACUAAAACACAUUUUUAAGUUCCAUAAUUAUGCAUUAACGUUCAAAAUACACGCUAAACUUGGCAAACUUCCAAAUUACGUUGUGAUUGAACAGAGAUAUUUCGAUGUUAAAAUUGACCCAGCAAAUGAUGAUCAUCCAUCACACGAUGUAGCACUUGGACAAAAAUUUGUUAAGGAGGUGUAUGAGACAUUGAGGGCAAGUCCACAGUGGAAAGAAAUGGCACUCUUGAUUACAUAUGACGAACAUGGUGGCUUCUUUGAUCAUGUACCAACUCCUGUUUCUGGUGUGCCUAAUCCUGAUGGCAUUAUCGGGCCUCCACCAUAUUACUUCAGAUUUGACCGCUUGGGGGUUCGUGUCCCCACCUUCUUGAUUUCACCAUGGAUUGACAAGGCCACUGUGAUCCAUGAGCCGAAAGGUCCAACUACGUCUUCACAAUUUGAGCAUUCUUCCAUACCAGCAACUGUGAAAAAGCUUUUUAAUCUGAAAUCAAGUUUCUUAACCAAGCGAGACGCAUGGGCUGGGACAUUUGAGAACUAUUUCCGCUUGCGUAAGACUCCUCGUGAUGAUUGUCCAGAAGUGACUGAUAGUUACUUAUAAGACGGAGAGUACAUCCAGGGCAUAUGGUCUGCUUUUAGAUGCUGAUGCUUUAGGAAAUACUUUAUUAGUAAAAGUACUCUAUCUAAAUUUCUUCAAAUGCAUAUGGUGGAGAUAUUCUAUUGCAAGGGGCUUAUUAGUAGUUUGAAGGUGCUGUCUGCUGUGAUUACUAUUACUAUCAAAUACUUCUUUCCUCAAGCCUGUCAUAAUUGUAAGCGAACAUAUACUUUUUUGCUAGAUGAGCUGGAUUAACAUGUCCUUGUGGAACUCUGUUGGCUCCCUCAGGAACUCGUUGUCCUGUCUUCAAUAGGAUCUUCUUUUGAUCCUUACUUCACUUUAGCUGCUCCGACUCAUGCAUGAGUUGUAAUUCUAUUUCAUCAUUUAGAGCAAUGGGAUCUUUCGUAUUGAGAAACUUUCGGAGGUGAUGAUAAAUCUAAGACCAUGGGGACCAAGAGAAGAUGCAAAGCUCUCUGAAUUUCAAAUAGAACUGAUCCAGCUUGCUUCACAGCUUAAU